CGCGUGCUAACCGGUCAGUGUGUGUUCGGUGUGUUUCACGAAUAACUGACUGUGUGUCUCAGCGCUGAGCUUCCUACCUGGACCAGGUGUGUUGAUGAUGUCAUCAUCAGACGACCAGCUGUGUCUGAACAUCAGCAGCAGCUUUUCAUCGUCUUCAUCCAGCAGAAAAAAACCUCUGACUACUCAGCAGAGAUGGGCUCAGAAGAAACAGAAAGCAGAGAAAAGGAGGUUCAACUCCUCAGAGGAGCAGAGAAGCUCCUUCAAACAGAGGAGGCUCACUGAGUCUGUGCAGGAG